rnacentral:rRNA from 1 species
UUUUUGUGUCACAAUUAUCGAUUAGCUUCAGCGAUGGAUCGGUCGAUUCGCGUAUCGAUGAAAAACGCAGCUAGCUGCGUUAUUUACCACGAAUUGCAGACGCUUAGAGUGGUGAAAUUUUGAACGCAUAGCGCCGUUGGGUUUUCCCUUCGG